rnacentral:lncRNA from 1 species
UUAAAAACAAACAUCUCACCCCGAGAAAGGCUCAAGUCUGUAAGUACCAGCCAGCUAAUAGACUUUCUACUGGCUUAAAUCUGUGUCUAAGUCAUUUCUUUGAUUUAUCUUCUUUGAUCGAUUCCUAACAUUUUCACACUGGCACAAAUCAGUUUUUAACUCCUCAUUAUGAUUAACAGUCCAUUGUAUUUAUGGGGAGCAGUUGAGUUGUCCCCCCCUUUCGGCUUCUAUGAAUAGUAUGCUCUGCACAUUUGUGUGUGUAUAUUCUAGCAUUUGCUCUCUGUCGAUUUGUGUACACAGGAAUGGGAUUUCUUCUGUAAUAAUUCUGUUUAACUUUUUUUUUUUUUGAGUAAACAGUUUUCAACAGCAGUAAUGGACAGUGUCACCCACCCUUCACCAUAACAUUUCUCCUUUUUUUUUUCUUUUUUCUUUCUGCUUUCGGGGAAGGCCAGACCCCAUGGAGUAAAGUAGAAGCUCUGCUUCCAGUAGCAAGAUUGCUUUAGCCAAAGCCUCAAACCGUGCCUCCAACCUCGCCAUUUCCAGGAGCAGGCAGUGUGGCUACCUCCCUGGAUCACUAACGCACCUCCCACCCCACUGCGGCCAAACACACAUACACAGCCCUGUGACAUCAUAAAUUACUGUCCUGGUGACCGUACAUGGAGCCCUACCAAACUCCAACUCAGGUUAAGCUGAGUGCCUGAAAUAGAAGCAACAUGCAACGCUCUUCCUCCAGUCCUGGCCCUCUGCCAGUGCCUGCCCGGGAGAGGUCCAGCUAGGACCUCCUGCAUACUGACCACCCUGAUGGAAGGGUGCAGCUGUAAGUGUCAUGCACACUCCUUGAACUUUUGGCUUCUGUGGCAGUUAGCGGCAGAGGAUUGACUCCAGAGAGGCAGAGGAUCAACUCCAGAGACUUACCCACCCGCUGGCCUCAAGCUCAGAGCUAUUAAGCUCCAGGGUCAUUCUAUGUGGCAGAGAACUGCGUCCAGCCACCCAUCCUUUCUCUAUGUAAUUUGAGCUUAGUUUCCUCUGGCCCCCUUGCUUCUGCACAACUGCCUCAUGUUCCUGUGGCAGGCCAAACAUUGAGGUCCCCUGAGCUGUGGGGGACUCCUGAUCUCAAGACUCUAGAGUAGCUCGGUUUCAAAUAAAUUACCCAUUAAAAUGAUGCCUGAUGCUCC